AACGAACGCUGGCGGCAGGCUUAACACAUGCAAGUCGAACGCCCCGCAAGGGGAGUGGCAGACGGGUGAGUAACGCGUGGGAAUCUACCGUACCCUACGGAAUAACGCAUGGAAACGUGUGCUAAUACCGUAUACGCCCUACGGGGGAAAGAUUUAUCGGGGUAUGAUGAGCCCGCGUUGGAUUAGCUAGUUGGUGGGGUAAAGGCCUACCAAGGCGACGAUCCAUAGCUGGUCUGAGAGGAUUAUCAGCCACAUUGGGACUGAGACACGGCCCAAACUCCUACGGGAGGCAGCAGUGGGGAAUAUUGGACAAUGGGCGCAAGCCUGAUCCAGCCAUGCCGCGUGAGUGAUGAAGGCCCUAGGGUUGUAAAGCUCUUUCACCGGUGAAGAUAAUGACGGUAACCGGAGAAGAAGCCCCGGCUAACUUCGUGCCAGCCGCCGCGGUAAGAC
rnacentral:rRNA from 1 species